UUAAAAAAACGAAGGGUGAACCUCAUGAUCAUGGUUCUUUUUUUAAGGUCACUUCUGUUUUUAAAUGCUUCUGCUAUUUGAACAUUGCCUUGAACCUUUCUGCUUCUCGUUCAGUUGUGCGACAGAAAAAAAACGUAAACUGUCACACUGUACUUGUCAGGGAGGGAAUAGAAACAAGAUGGGUGAUAAACAAAGAAAAACUACAGACGAGAUGCUGUGUUUCUUCGUGGAGGCCGCUUGGUGGAGGACAAAGGUGCCAGUCACGCUGUUGCACCUGGUGAUGAUGGCGAGGUGGGGCGGGGCCAUGCAGGCGCCCAUGAACAGGACCACGUUCUCGUGCCUGGUCUGCCUGUAGUUCAUCACCUCCUUCUUGAAGAGCUUCAGGUGAUCCUGGUUGUUGCCGUCGACCUCCAGCAGGCGAAUGGCCACCUCGCCGUGCCAGCGGCCCUUAUGCACCUUCCCCCAGCGACCCUGCGCAUCCACAAAGUCAGCCAUGUUGGACCCUAACAUUGACAUUUUGAUUUUGUCGACACAUCCUCCGUCUUCACCUUGCCAAUAAGCUCCCCCAGCUGCAGCUGCUCAUACGGGAUGUCCCACUCCUGCAGGUAGAUGCUGGUCUGGCUGGCUUUACGAGAGAUCUGGCCCCUCCAGCGGCCGGCGGCCGCACGGCGGCAUAUGGAAGAGGGCAGGUCCUCGAGCCCGUCCUCAUCACACUCCUCGGUGGGAUAGCUCUUUUUGCUGCUGUACUGGUCAGCUGUUUCCUCAUCCCCGACUGGGUAGUCUUCCUCUGCCCCCUCCUCCUGAGACAUAGCAGAAUAAAGGAAAUGAACACGGAGAUUUAAUUGUUUGAUUAGUUUUAAGUUAAACUCCGGAAGAGCCGUCAGAGGCAAAAAUUAGGGUUGGGUGUCCAAGGACACAUUAGCGUGCUGCCUGGGGGAAGCUGGGAUCGAACCACCGACCUUUGGGACGGCCGACUCUAACUCCUGUGCCACAGCCGCUCAAACAGGGAAAGUGAAGAAAGAUUUUUUUCAUCUGUAAAAACAGGUGAUUUUUGGGGCAGCAACAGUUAUUGGAUAAACUUUGGAUUCGUUUUUGAAUACUUAAUUAAUCACCAACUAUUUUGUUAAUCGAUUAAUCGGCUCCAGUCGUUUUGGAUGGGGAAAAAAAGUCUCUGAUUUCAGCUUCUUUAACGUGAAUAUGUUCUGGAUUUAGUAUUUCAGAUGACCGUAAACACGAUCGACAUUUUUCACCAUUUAUGGACCAAACUACUAAAAAAUAAUUGGCAGAUUAAUCGAUAAUGAAAAUAAUCAUUAGUUGCAGCUCUACUCAUUUUGCUCCAUCCCCUAAUCAGCUGUUUUUUUGUGAAAAAUCUGGAGCCCACAUGUAUGAUGCACCGAUCAGAAUAUAAAAAUAUACAGCUUGCAUAGUUCUUCAUAUAAUACAUUUGUAAUUGCAUGCUAAAAGGACUAUUACCCAUUUCACCCAGGGUUGUAAGAGAGAGACAAAAACACUACAAAGUUCUUCCGACUUCCUCUAAUGACAAAUUAUGUAACUGCUACAAAAGGGAACAGAAGGCCCUCUACAGUAAACUGGUAGAGUGUGAAACCGCACAACUCCUGUAUACAGCACAGGCAAGUGGGAUUUGUGUGACAGAGUAAAUCUGUAGACACUCACCCCUCCUGGUUCUGCAGCCGGUAGCUGUGUGUCAGUGGGGCCCACCUGGGACACACUGAAAGAAAAACACGCAAGAAUUAGCAACCGACAAAAUCAUUACGUUUGUGGAAGAAUUAUUACUGUGUGUAUACGUUUAAACACAUUACACAAUAGGCUGACUGACGAAAAGUGACUGAACCCUUUGGAAAUAUCAGAAUUCAUGUAUAAAUCUGGCAUCAAUUAAAGCUCAUUGCGAGUGCUGCAGUCUGUGUUAGAGUUGAAUUUAGCUCUUAUUUCAAAUAAUAUUCUAUACCGAUUUGUUUCUUAAUAUGUUUGAGGCUACUUGAUAUAAAGGAUUUGCCUAUUACGAUGUGUUAUGAUAGCUUAAUGGAUUAUUAGGUAAACGGAAUGACCUCAUUUAAAAAAAUGUUAACAGUUUAAAAACAACUUACUUCUAUUACAUCAUACAGCAUUUACAUCUACCAAAAUGUGUCAUUCAAAUUGUGUACCAUUGUAUAAAAUCAAGCUGAAACAUC